CCUAGGGGCACGAACCGGAUUAGAUACCCGGGUAGUCCUAGGUGUAAACGCUGUGGACUUGAUGUUGGGGGUGCUCCGAGCACUCUCAGUGUCGAAGCGAAGGUGAUAAGUCCACUGCCUGGGAAGUACGGUCGCAAGGCUGAAACUUAAAGGAAUUGGCGGGGGAGCACCGCAACCUGAGGAUUGUGCGGUUUAAUUGGAUUCAACGCCGGAAAACUCACCAUAGCCGACGGACAAAUGAAGGUCAGUGUAAUGAACUUACCGGAUUGUUCGAGAGGUAGUGCAUGGCCGCCGUCAGUUCGUACCGCAAGGCGUUCUGUUAAGUCAGAUAACGAACGAGACCCUCAUCUCUAUUUGCUAGCUGGAUCUCCGGAUUCAGUGCACUAUAGAGAGACCGCUGGCGCUAAGUCAGAGGAAGGGGAGGGCAACGGUAGGUCAGUAUGCUCCGAAUGCUAUGGGCUACACGCGCAAUACAAAGGACGGGACAAUGGGCUGCUGCUCCGAAAGGAACGAUAGCUAUCCCGAAACCCGUUCGUAGUUCGGAUUGAGGGCUGUAACUCGCCCUCAUGAAGCUGGAUUAGGUAGUAAUCGCGUCUCAAAAAGGCGCGGUGAAUAUGCCCCUGCUCCUUGCACACACCGCCCGUCAAACCAUCUUAGUUGUGGGUGGGUGAGGCUACCUCUAAAUGGGGUAUUCGAGCCUGCCUUCGACGAGGAGGGUUAAGUCGUAACAAGGUAUCUGUAGGGGAACCUGCAGAUG
rnacentral:rRNA from 1 species